UGACUGACUGACUGAUAAGGUACAAUGAACAGGGGGAAAAUAUAAUUUUAUGUGUGAUCUAAACAUAUAUGGGAAAGAAAGAACAAUCAAUGAAGUAUGAACAAACCAGAAAGAAAGGGAAAAAUCCGUAUAAAAAGGAGGUUAGCACAGAAACUUUCACCGACAGUUAGUUGGAUUUGUUUUUUGUUUUUUGCAAAAACCAAAACAAACUGUGAAAAUGACGGCCGCAACUGACGGCUGUAAACAGAAGCAUAUCCUAACAAGGCGCCUACUAUACUUUAAUUAAAUAUUUUAAUAAAUUUAACACCGAGCCAAGUAGCACAUUUAUCCAUUCACCAUUGAGAUUUUAUAUGUUUUCCAUUUAUGAAAAUAUUUGCAAAAGAACUAAAUCUUUUAAUAAAAAAAAGGAGAAAAGAAAUGUGAUGUGAAAAAUCACCACUUGGGUUCACGGAGCAAAUGAGUAUAGGAACCGGUUUCAGCCACUUCCACUAGAGACGCUUCGUGACCAUGGGACUCUAACCCAUGUAAGGUUCGAGAAAAACGGACUUCCCUCCUCACUUUUUCUUUCCUGCAGAACUUGCGCAACUUUUCGGGAACGGGAUAUGGGAUCUGCUCUGGACUGGAGAGAAGACACGUCUAGUCCGAAAGUUGAAGCAUGUUUGUGGAGAUGUUGCAGAACUGUAGAAUUGCCUUGCGGUUUUGGUGCCCAAGAUUUAGAGAUUCCGGAGUCACCCUGAUAAAAAACAUUGUGCAGUAGAAUGUAACGUAGGUACUA